rnacentral:rRNA from 1 species
AUGGAUAUCUUCGCCCUCCUGGAGAUCCCAGACCUCACGCGUGCGGGCUCCGUCUGCUCCUGCUGGCGGUCUGUUUAUACCAGCCUACGCAGCGAGCUUGAGCUGUACAAACGGCCCCAGAUGCCUUGCCUCCUCUACACCUCUGAAUCUGCCGCUGACAACAUAGCUUGUCUCUACAGCCUCGCGGAAAAGCGGGUCUACAAUCUGACUCUUCCGGAUCCACCCAUCCGAAAUAGAUAUCUGAUUGGGUCCUCACACGGCUGGCUGAUCACCGCUGACGAGAAGUCCGAGCUACACCUUCUCAAUCCGAUCACCUGUCAACAGAUUGCUCUCCCUCAGUGA